rnacentral:misc_RNA from 1 species
GAUGAAGAACGUAGUGAAAUGCGAUACUUGGUGUGAAUUGCAGAAUCCCGUGAACCAUCGAGUCUUUGAACGCAAGUUGCGCCCGAAGCCAUUAGGCCGAGGGCACGCCUGCCUGGGCGUCACACGUCGUUGCCCCCCCAUCUACUCCUUCGGGAUUGCGGGGGGCGGAUGAUGGCCUCCCGUGCGCCUCGUCGCGCGGUUGGCAUAAAUGCCAAGUCCUCGGCGACACACGCCACGACAAUCGGUGGUUGCGAAACCUCGGUUGCCCGUCGUGUGCGGUCGUCGCGCAUCGAGGGCUCGAAAAAAUUGCCGGGCUCCGGCUCGGCUUUCAACGCGACCCCUGGUCAGGCGGGGUUACCCGCUGAAUUUAAGCAUAUCAAUAAGCGGAGGA